CCUCCCGCCGCGCCGCGCUGCGCUCGCCCGCCGGCAUGGCCGCGCCGGGGCCCGGGAACCGCCGGGGAGGCGGCACCGGAGCGCCCGACCCGGAAGAACCGCGCGGGGAGCCUGGGCGGAGCGGGCGCCCGGUCUGCAGGAAUGCUCCUGAGGACCAGGGACCUGUUGUCAUCCCCCUGAGGAGCGGGGUCCGAAGCCCCAGAACAUCCCAGGUCCCUGCAGCGAUAGGUGGUUUACCCUGGAGAGAAUUGGGCUGUGUCUGCAGUGCUGGAGCCAGAGAGAAUUCCCAAGGCGUGGCAGAGCCAGGGGAUCAACAUCCCGUGCCUGAAUCCACAGCCAUCUCCUCUGUGUUAUGGAAUUGGAGAACACCCAACAGAUGUGAAUGACGAACUCGGCACAGGCAGUGGAACUGGCCAGAAAAUGGAGAAGUGGGGGUUGAGGCUGCAGCCUCUGCAGGCAGGACCUGCAGGAGCACAAACUGAUGCCGCUGCUGGAGGACCGGUCGGUACGAUGCGGGCAGGUCCAGCCUGUUAGCACAUUGCUGAUCCCUGCCACAAUAACAGGAAAGCUGAUGUGAGACUUGAUUAAUGAAUAAUUAAUUAGAAUGUAUUUUAAUUAGUGUCAAUCAACUUGCAGGUUAGGAAAAAAGAACCCGUAGAUAGGGCUGAUGUUUUUUUCUAAUGAGAUGACAAACGCGGUGGAUGAGGAGAGUGCUGAUACACCAGCCAUAUGACUUUUGCUUUGGCACUGGUGUGACAUCUGGGGAUGCACUGGGUUGCUGCUGGACUGCGAUGCGUGCCAGAGCAUCGGGCAGCAGCUGUGGUGGCAGGUGACAUGGCUGUCACCUCUGCGGGGGCUUGGUUGGUACUGCUUUCCCAGGGAUGGGAUUUGGGAUGGUGUGGGCAGCCCGGCUCGGGUCCGGCUGCUGUGGAACCCUCUGCUGAGCUACGAUGGGUGAAUGUGGGGACAGGGGCUACGAGGGAGAGGGACCACGUCAUGCAAGGAUGUGUAGUGGUGGAAUGAGGGCCAGGAGAAGAAGCUGGGUGUCAAAAGGAUCAAAGGCGUCAGUCUGCUGAAUUCAAGAACAAGAUGACAAAGGAUUUGAUCUCAGCCUGUCAGUGUGAACAGAGGGAGUAGAUGUUUGACAAGAUAAAGCUUUUCCAUUUAGUGGACAGGGAUAUAAGGAGAUCCAAAGCUGGAAGCUGAGGUAAACACAAGUUUUAUGCAUGGUAGGGGUGAUUUGGUGACUGGAGCAUCCUACCAGAGCUGAUGGCUAACUCCUCAUUACCAAACGUCUUAAUGGAGAUUGGUUCAUGGUUUUUCUGCAAGGUUGCUCUCCAUGGAAAGUAAUUAGUCCUGCAAAGUUUUAUGUCCAAGCCACAAGAGAUGCUCACUCACAGCAGGCUUUCCCGGCUAUUAAUGUGUGUGGAAGCAGGAGCAGAGCCUGGCCCGCGGCGAAGUGCAGUGCUGCCAGCACAUGGGCGAUCAGCGCCCGCGUCUGGAUCUGCAGCUGAUCAGCCCCUCAGCUAAAGGGGUUCUGAUUUCAAUAAGUCUUGUGGACCCAAAUAAAGAUCAGUAAUCAUUAGAAUUAACCACAUGCUGAUUUAACCAGCAUAUAGCUUUGUUAAUUACUAGCUCUUUCUUCGUGUCCAUCUGUUUUAAAGAUUCUAGCAAACCUGCAGCAGAUGUUCAUGUAAAUAUAAUAAGCCGGUUGCCAUGUAAAUAUGAAAUUUUCAGGAGUGUUUGUGUAACAGACAUCCCAUUUAUUUGUGCUGUUGUCAGUAUCAUGUCUUUAGUGGCUUGAACACAAAGCUGAUAACUUUGUUACAAUCCCUGCUGGAGCCAGUCUCUGCUGUCCCUCUCUCUGUCCCCCCGUGUCCCACUCAGGUGAGCUGUGCUCAGUGGCCUUGGGGAUGUGUCACAGCAUUCGUGGUGCUGUCUUGGAACUGCCACUUGGAAAUGGAGCAGGACCAGUCAAUUUGUGCUCCCUUCAGGGAUAUGGAAAAUAGUGCCCAUGCUCAUGAUGAAUAUGGUUCAUUCAUCAUGAGUGGUGUAAGCAGGAAGCACUUUGUGCAGCCGAACGUUGCGGACUUUUUGCCUUGAGGAUAUUGAUUUAUUUAAUGUUGUCAUAUAAGUAUAAUCAUCGUCCUCUCUGUGUGAAAACUGAUUUGGAAGUGGUUAAUAUAGUGUAAUGGUUGAAAUAUAGUGGUUAAUACAGUGCAGGGUUCAAAAUUACUUCAGUAGGAAUAAGGCGCAAGGAAAGUGUGGAAAACCUGGCUCUGUAUAUGCUUGUGUUUGAUCUUCAUUGAAUUCAAACUGUCUUACUGAUGGAACAGGCAAAGUGUCCCAUGUGACAAUAACCUGGUAGCUCCUGUUGUGUGGGGGACAGGGCUGGCAGAAGGAUGUGGAGCAGAGCAGCUCCCGUUCCAUCGCAGGGAAAUGGGCGAUUCCCCAGGGGCAGCAAACUGGGAGCACUGGGGGCACUGGUGGCAGUGAGUCGUUCGUGCCACUGGUGCCGUGGUGAGGAGGAGCCAGGCCGGGUUUGGUGAGGGGGUGGCAUGGAUGCGGUGCGGUCAUUGUGCGUACCGCACAAUGCUGCAAAUUGACCUCACAAAAAACACCACCCAAACUCUCUGAGCACUCACAGGAAUUAAUACAAUAGCAUCAGAUUGUGAAUUCAGGGAGGAAUCUCUUUCUUUGUUAAGCUUGUGCAAAGAAGGUCCUGGCCAAUAGAGGGGAUUCCUAGAGGCGGCUGCAGUGCAGUUAAGCGAUAAUAAUCCCAAAGGCAAUCAAACAACAAAGGAAGAACCUCACUGUUCAUCUGCAGAAGGUGAAAAAACACCGAUUCUCCAAUUCACUUGGCAAUGUCACAGCCAUGUCACGGUAUGCCUCCUUUCAGCUGUGUAACCUCCACACCAAGCUGAAGAGCUGUGUGUGACCCGCUGAGCCUGGAGCUGUGGCUGAGGACAGCUACAGCCCGUGACAGAGGACAUUGCUCAGCGUCCCUCCAGCUCUGGUGUCCUUGGGGAUGAGGAACUGGGGGAUCGUCCCUGGCCAGGAAGAGGUGCUGGCUCUGGGGGUGACAGCCAGAGGGGUCCCCAGGAGGCAUGAGCACCGUCAGCCCCGCUGGGAUGGGCUUUUGGCUGGUUUGCAAAGCCUUCUUUAAGAUGGAUUUUAAAGGUAAUUAGAGAUGACCUUGUGGCAUAAUAGGAAAGCUGACAAAGUGCUGAAUUGUUUUUAAUAUGGGUUGUCUAGAUUUUCCUUCUGCCUUCAGAAAAUAAUUAAUCUAAUAAAUAGGAGAACUUCAGGUUCAGAUGAGGUGUUUCUCUCGUUUGUCCCGUGUUCAGCAGGCACACUGUACCACACACCAGCAGCUGCAGGGCGAGCAGGGGCUGUCCCAGCAAAGCUCCAGGAUCUGACUGUGAUUUGGUGCUGCCACCCCGAUAAAACAUUUGCAGCCUGGCACUUGUCUCUCUCUCUCUCGCAUUAUUUUAUCUGUGUGAAGAAUUAUCCAGCAGCUGAUUCUGCAGCUUGUUGGAGUUGACAUGAAAAAUGAAACGUAUAUUGUGGUGUUGGUCAAGGGAGUAGAGGAAAAGAUGGAUCUUAACUCAAAGUUUCCUGCCAAGAGCUGAGUCUGGAGUUAUCUUUCAUUUACAUCUGCACUUCAAAAAAGCUCUGCUUUCUGAUUUCUUCUCUUCUUUUUUAGCUUUUGAGGAUUUUGGUUUCAUUUAGCUCCACAUUGGCAACAACUUCAGGAGCCCAAAGAGGAGGGCGAGAGCGAGUGAAGGCAGAUCGUUAACCAGCGCUCGUCAGCCGCCUUCUGACCUGCGCAGUCCUUGCUCACCAGACAGGUCACUGCUGCAUGAAAUUCCCCCGCAUGGGAAAGAUUUACAGGUUUUCAGGAAAGGAAGCACAAAGAAACGGAUGACCCAGAGGUAUCAGCCCCUUCGCACCCUCCCCAAAACAGCCCGGGGAGAUGGAGGGGAACAGCCUGGGGGGCUGGGCAGGAAUCCGGCAUCUCAGCAAUGGCACAUCCACAUCAGCAAGGAAAAGAGACUGAAAGAUGAUAGAAAAGAGUGUAAGUGGAAGCUCAUACAAACCAAAGCAUUAAAUUGUUUUUAUAAAGGAGUAUUUUUACAAUUUCUAAUAAUAUUUGUAUAUAAUUGCUAAUUUUACUAUUCUUUUAAUACCAAAAAUAUGCCCCUCUUGACUGAACAGUAGAGAAGCUUCUAUUUGCCACUGCAAUUGAGUCUUAGUACAUCAAAUCCUUAGAUUUCAGAUGACAGUGGAAAUUAAUAGCAAGAAUAAAAUCUUAUAAUUGAAACUAAAUCUCACAGAUGGAACACUAGCUUGAACUUCAGUCUGAGUGUCUAAGGAAUCUCUGUGCAUUUUUUAAUUCUUUGACUCUUCUCCAUAAAUGUUUUGACGUGCUUAGAAAUUCAUCUUCAUUAUUAAGGCUGCUAGAUCAUCAUGUACUGAUGAGCCCAAAGUCAGAAUUUUUACUUAUCAUUUGCUUGGAAAUAAAUUUCCAACUGGAAAUCGACAUUAUGGGCUUAUUUCUGCUAUUAGUCAUGGGAGGCAAGACUUUGUUUUAGGCUGUGGUGCAGCACGCGUCUGUGCCCGAGGCUGCAUGGUGCUGCCAGGGCUGGGAGCAUCCCGCAUCCUGCAUCCCACGGGUACUGCCCCAGCUCCUUCCAGGGUCAGCGCCUUUCCUUUUUGCUAUCCAUAAGAGCAAGCUCUUUGGUAAGAAUACAGCACUCCUAUAAUGUGUAUUCUCUGAGUAUUACUCCUGCUUAGAAGCCUUGUUAAGUGUUCUUUUUAAAAGAACAUAUUUAUAGUUUUAACCACAUUGAUAUUUUAGUUAAUGGAUUCAAGACCUUCCCUUUUGCAGGUGUUUCUCUCCAGCCCUGUCCUUUUAGAUGUUAUGCUUCUCUAGUGAACAUCAUUAAAAGAUGGCCUUAAAAGCCUGGAAAAUUGGAGGCUAUUAACGGUAGGAGGAACACCUCUGGUUUGGUGCCUUUGCCCCCAUGUGUUAUGUGGCUGGAGAAGGGAGCUGUUCACCAUGCAAGGCUGUCUGUGGUGCUGGUGCCUGUGAAUUGUCACUGCAGGCACAGAUUCCAGCCCAGGGCAGUGCCAGCCCAGCCAGGCCAGGCUUUGGCUCGUCAGGGCUUGGCCCAAGCCCUGCUUUGGUGCUCCCCACAAACAAUCUUCCGUGAUUUACAGGGAUGGCACUAAGCCUCUUGCCUUUAGAGAGGAAUUAAAGCAAUUGUGGGACAUAAUGGAGGAAAAAUCAUUUAGUAUUUCCUUCUUUAUAAUUCAUAUUUCUAUAAUAUGGUUUAAUUUCCUCUAAGCUCUUUAAGUGCCUGCGAGGCUGCAGAGUUCAGGUCCCUUCUGCACUGGCUUAUUAUUGAGGCGUGAAACACGUGGUGCUCCCAUGACUGAUGGUAUGAACCCCUGUGGUUCCUGCUAAGCAGCCAUGCUGGUGGUGGGGCUGCACUGUUCACUGUCAGGAGGAUUGUGUUUGAAACCAGCUGCAUGAUCAUGAGAAAGGACAGGGUAGACUUUUAUUUACUCAUUUCCCUUUUGCAUGUGAGUAUAGGGUGUUACAACAGCAUAUAUAGAGAAAAAAACUCAUAACUUGUAUUAUAUGUUCAUUAAUGUACAAUAAGUGUUUGUUUACCUUUGUGUCACGUAUGCAUUUGUCAGUCUCAGCUUGCAAAAAGCAAGUGAGGAAACCAUGGCUUGCAGGAUUGGAUGGUUUUAUGGAGUCUUGCUGUGAGCAGUCCCAGCACAUGUUCUGCUCUAUCACAGUGGUUCUGCAGCUCCCCAGCCUGUUGGGCUGCAUUGUUCUCAGGUGGGGCGCACACGACUGCUGUGAUGCUGCAUUUCAUACCCCAAACCCCAUCCAAAACCCUGGCAGUGUGCCCAUGAUUGGCAUCACUUGCCCUAAGCAUCAGUUCACAGCAUUUGCUGCCUCACUUGAUGCCAAGGACUGUCACAGACCUGUGCUAAUUUGUCUGAAGCUGGUGAAAUGUGUGAGAUUUACACAGUGCAGUUCAGGUCACAGUCUCUUCUGGUCGAUUUCUGGAAGGUUUUUGUGUUUUAGCGCAGUGGGCUGCAGUGCAGAACUGUGGGCUGGUGCUGGUGACCAGCAGAUCUGCUGGGUGGACCUGCCGUGGGGGGCUCCUCAGGAUUGGCACCAAUGCCUGUGUAAUGUUCUCCGGGAGGCUGGGUGAGUGACCGCAGUGCUUCUUAUUGCCAGGUUUGGGUUUAAUAACACCUUAAACUUUGUCCAGUCUGAACACUGAUUUUAACACUAUAUAAUACUUUUAAAUUUGAAUGGUAGGAAAAAGGUUAAAUGUCUCUCUAUUGACAGAUGUGUAGAUUUUGUGGCAACAGUGUCCACUAUGGUCACCUAGUUUAACCUCUUGCAAAACAGAAACUUUAAAAUUAAACCUGCAAAUCCUUCCUGAAGCCCUUUUCCUUGUCUAGGAAACAAACAGACAAACAAACAAUCAAACAACCCCAAACAACUCCAUUUUGAUUUAUUCAGAAUUGUCUCAUUUCUUCACAAUGUGAAGAUUGUGUUGUGUGCUAAGUUGGGCUCCUCUACUAUCAGUUUAAGUCACCUUCUGAACAUGUCAGAAUAAAAUGAAUUGUUGAUCUUCUCAAAUCUUCUCCUGCAAGGAGGCUUCCAGAUGCAAAUUAUCCCUGUAGCUCUUCCCUGUGCCGUUUCCAACGUUUCAGCACAGUUUUGAUGGACUGAUGACAGCACAGGGUUCAGCAUUUCAUGGCAGAUCUCACACUGCAGGUGGAGGAAGUUUUGCAACCUGUGUUUUUUCUGCUUUAAAAGAAGAAAAAGUUAGAAACAAAUUAAUAUGUGCUUUGUCAAAUUGUCUGUCAAGUGUACUGUUCACAAAUCAAGUCAAUCAGAACUUUCCUUCAGAUGAUUCUUUUUUCAGACAUGUUGUCUUUAGACAUUUCCCACGUUUAUAAUACAGAACGCGUAUCCCCUAUUAUUUUUACUUUGGUGGCAAAAGUGAAUACUUUGUUCCAAGUAAACAUUAAACAUUUUUAAAGUUAUUUUUCAAUUCAACCACCUAAUUUGAUCUUCUAAAAAUCAGGUUUUAAGAACUUCAUGCUUUAUCUCCCUUUCCCUUGAUUUGGGAGAUGAUGACAAGCCUUUAUGUCUAAACAGAAUCACAGAAUGUCAGGGAUUGGAAGGGACCUCGAAAGCUCAUCCAGUCCAAUCCCCCUGCCAGAGCAGGAACACCCAGAUGACUUUACACAGGAAGGUGUCCAGGCAGGUUUGAAUGUCUCCAGAGUAGGAGACUCCACAACCCCCCUGGGCAGCCUGGUCCAGUGUCUGUCACCCUCACUGAGAAGAAGUUUCUUCUCAAAUUUAAGUGGAACCACUUGUGUUCCAGUUUGAACCCAUUACCCCUUGUCAUAUCAUUUGUUGUCACCAAGAAGAGUAUAUAUGUUUAUAUAAAAUGGAUAUCAGGCAGAGAUAAACCAAAAAAAAAUAUUUACCAUAAUAUUUCAGGUUAGGUUUUUGAAGUCUGUCAAACCAAUGAAUGAUGAAAAAUUGAAUGAAGGACUUUCAGACGGCACUUGAGUAGCUUUUUGCUAUUUGUAUUUAUUAACGCUGCAAAUCAGUACAAAUUUUCUGAAGAACCAAGUUUAAUGGUUUGAUUUCUUCAUUCGAAUAAUUACUGCCAAUAAAUAUCUCAAUAAGCGGCUGUUUAGAAUGUAAUUUCCAUAAAAAUGAAGGGCCUGAUCCUCUGCAGUCCCUGAUGUGUGGCUGGGUUUCUGAGCUCCCAGGGCUCCUGGGGACACUGGUGUCACUUCACCUCCCAGCAGCGUCAGAGCUCAGCACCACAGAGCGUGCACUCCACACUGUGACUCUGCUGCUGGAAAGGUCCAGAAAAGAGUAUUUUUGGCAAGGCAGCCACUGCUGGAGCCACUGCCACGGUGAGGGGAGCCGACUUGUCCGGACCCCUUCAUGCAAACCUGACUGAGAGGGUUAGGAACCCCCACACAGCGGUCAGAGGAAGAAAAUAAACCAAAAAUAAACAAACUUCGUAUUUGGGGCCAAGUCUCUGCCAUGGAAACACAAAAGUCAUUUUGGUGACCUUUGAUUUUUCUGACAUCUCAGCUAAAAUAACUUGGGUAUUUUUGCUUCUUGAAAUGCUUGCACUACAAAUAGCAUGCACCAGAUUCUCCUUUGUUAGUUUAAAAAAUAAAUAAGGACACAACAUUUUCUUUCUUUCUGACUAAUUGCAUGCUAAAUUGCUUUACAAUUGCACCAGAGUAAGCCCAUUACAUUUUUUUUUUUUUUUUUUUCUGAGUGAAAGAUCUUUAUCUCUAGAUGCUCCCCAGGAAGGAAUUUUCAUAACAAGAGUCUAUUAAGAGAUGCUUACAGACUUCCAGGCCAUCUGAGAGGUUAUAGAAAAAAAAAAAAAAAGGCAGAAAGUGGUGUGACAUCUACACAUUGCAGCUAAAGUGUCCGUUGCUAUAGCAAACGAAGGAGAAUAACUAACCUCUAACACAGCCUGCUCAGAAAAUCUGGGUGGCUUGUUAAGCUCUUUUGUUCCAAGGCAUUCCCUUUCUCCAUUUCUGCUGCAGUUUGCUAAACUGCUCCCAAAUCAUUGGGAUUUAUCGUUUAGAAAUGGCGAUACACAUUAGGUAUGAUCUAGAAAACCUUAAAUCAAUGAUGAGUGAAUCUUCUGUGUCAUCCUCACUGGCACAUUAGUACAUUAAUGCAAUAAUUGUGAAGCAAUUUCAUUGUUUAAUUGUAUUUUUUAGAUCAAAGAUGGAUUGAAGCUAGUGGAGAGGACACAUGGGUUAUCCAUGCUGGGAGCUGUGAUAUUUCUGGUUUAGGGUAAUGUCUCCUGAGGUUUCUGCUUUCUCCAAACCCUUGCUGGUUUAAUACCCCCUCUCUGUCCCUUCCCUCUGUGCUGUCCCCACCUUCCCCAAGUGCAGCUUUUGCUGUUGAUCUUUCUUGCAGUUUUCAGCCCAAACUGCUUAAAUCCCCAAAGCACCACAGAGCCCCAAACCAGAGCUCAGCCUUCCCACGGGCUUGUGCUGGUACAGAGGAAACAGCCCUGGGUUUCAAAUACAAAUAUAAAUACAAACAAGUAAGUAGUUUUCUAAAGUAAUUGCUAUUUACAUGAGCUAGUGCAGGAAAUAAAUCUGGUCAAAACACUAAAGAACACAUUGUGUUAUUUGCUCUGGAAGGCAGCAGCUUGUGUGAACUGAGGAUCAGCCUGGGUUAAUGGUCACUGGCUGGAUUAGAAAAGCAAAAGCUAGUAGGCACAGAUAAACCUGGAGCUUGUUGUCUGAAAGAUACAGAGAAUUCCCAAUGCGAAACACAGAAAAUUGCUGUAACCCAAACUGCUGUAAUUUUGUAGAAAGGAAUAUGCUAGUGAAUGCAUAUAGAAAUGUCUAUUCAGAUUCAAUUGAGAUAAAAAGCUAUAGAACUGAUGUUAGAAAGAAAUGCUCUUCCAUGGCUGGCGUGAGGAACAGGGCUGUUGUGGACUGGGGGGAGCAGCUGCUGCCAUUUCCCUACAAGGGAAACUGCCCCCAUCACCACCAGCGCUUUGAAACUGCAGAGUUUAGGGGCUAAUUUCCUUUAAUGACUUGUGUUUUAUCUCUUGGAAUGCAAAGACUUGCCUUGUUCUAAAACUGCAUUGAACAGAGCGGCAAAGAAGUGCAGUUGCGCCUCUUGGAAGGCUCCAUCCCACCACCCUCAGCUGUUUUCAGGUCUAAAAUAAGCGUAGCUUGGACCAAAAGGGGACAAAUACAUUCCCUGAACCCCCAUGUGUGUGCUGGGGAGGCUUCCCACUGGGGAAGCACCUCCUGUCCCUGCGGCUGGGCUCACACGGCUGCUUCGGCAAACAGCUGUGGAUCCGCUGAGCUCAGGCUGAGUGUAUUAAAUCUUGACAUUUUAAGAGAGUAAAAUAAAUAAAAAAUUACUCACUGUUUUGCUAUAGCCCAAGGAGAACCUGCACUGCUCCUAAAGCCUAAGAGUAGCAGUUGCCGCGUACAGGGAAAGCUCUCACAAGUUAGUCAAUUGGGAAAUAAAAAGCUAAAAGUCAAGCUAACCAGCAAAAUAUUGAAUUUGUUUGGAAACGAACACACUGUAGCAGUCUGUUUCUCCAAGAAAAAGCUGAUUGUAACUGACAUCAUGGGCUUUACAGCCACGAAAGCUCCGGGACCUGUUUGGCACGAUGCACCUCAUGGUUUUCUUGUCUCGUCUCGCCUUGUCGUCCUUUACUACAAUAUUUCCUUUUCAGCUGUUCUGAAAGAGCGACUCUUACCUGAGUGUGUUUUGGUCCAUUAGAGAAAUAAAGAACUGUAUGAAAGAAGGAUUACAUGCUGUGGAAUCCCAGCAGAAUUAAUGUUAAAGUCUGGGUUUAUAUUAGAUUUUUCUUUCAUCCUUCUUUAGAUUGUGACUGAUGCAUGUAACAAAGAAAAUGGAGAAAUGUACUGCAGCUCUCUGUGUGCAUAUAUUUUAAUAAGGUUUGGAGUGCCAUUAAACACCACCCCCCCUCAAUCUUGAGCUUCAGUGGAGACUAUGAUCAGCUGCUUUUGAAAUUAUAAAUAUAAAAAGUACAGCUGGAGAACAAGCAUUUGAAAUCUGAAAAUUUUGUGCCUGUAGGACUAAUUAUGCUUUUGCAAACUUUAUCAAAACAUUGCUGUUUGUUUAAAGUUAGCAGCACAAAAACGCCAUCGUAAUGAAUGGUAACUAUUAUGACUCAUGCAUCCAAACAUCUAUUUUCUGGAGAAAGUAACAAUUAAGGGCUUGUAAUGGAUUUUGAUUGUUUUAAUCUCUCUGCCGGGACAAUGCAGAACUAGGGACACUGUAAAUAUUGAGGAUGCUGAAACUGUUCCCCCAUUGCACAGGACACUGCUCAGUUUGCUAUGAGAUGCACACUGAGAGUUAUCUCGUCACACAGAGUUACACUGGCUCUGGAAAUGGGACACUGAUGAUGUCAAAGUGAUGGAAAUAAAAAACAUAUAUCUCAAAAAUUCCGUCUUUUUACGCCAUUGUAGGGGAAAAAAACCCAAACAAACUAAAUCCACACGACACACAUAAGGUAUUUCUCAGGCGUGGUGGAGAAAUGCUGGUACAUCUCCCAGCAGAUACACACAAGAUGGCAAAAUAUUUGAAUUAUUCAAAAUUCUGAGUCGAGGCGUAACAACAUGAGAAGAGUCUGAUGUUCGGCAGAGUCUCAUCAGGACCCUCAAUGAGCAGCUGCAGGGCUGAUCAGCCACAUCUCCCACCUGGCUGGGUCCCGUCCAAGGCUGCAGUUGCAACUGGUGCCCAGAAAACCGAGAAAGAGCAAACAGGUUUGAUUUGUGCACUCAGGAGUGUCUCACAUUGGGAUCUGACACUACUCAGGUGGAGGUCACAAGUGCGCCCAACUGAAGUGGGAAAACUGUGCUGGCUUUAAAAACUAUUAAAUUAGACACAGAAAAUCCUUGAGAGAGAAUGUUAAUAUCUUUAUCAUUUUCUCACUCAAUAUUUUGUCAUCUUUUAAGAAGACAUGGUUACAAAUUAAAAGGAUCCCACUCAUAAAGGCUGGUGCAUCCUGUGCUGUGGAAGAUUUUGAUGUAGAAACAGCUUUUAACGUGAAUGUUCUGGUGUCAGAUGACUUUGGUUGGUGUUACGUGCAAGAAUAAGAACAAGCUCUGUGUCAGAGGGGGCCAGGGAUGGCUGGAGGAAAUGCAGCCCCAGCAGCGGGCUCAUCAUGCCAUGGUCUUCCAAUUAAUUAAUUAAUCCCCAUGGUACUGCUCAGUACAGGCAUCUGCUCCUGUCAGAGAGUUGGGACAGGACAGGCAGAUCAGAAAAGGCACAUAUAUUAUUGAUUGCAGUUUCAGGGAAUGAUGAGCAGUGUGCUCUUGGGGAGGGUUCACAGCACCAGAUUUGCGGUGGGAAGGGCCAGGGACCAGUCAUGUUGAAGUUUUGACUACUGAAUGCCUUUCACUUAGGCAGAGAGAAGAGUGAGCUGUUUGUCAGCAUUUUCUGCAGCUCCUGCGACUGCCAAAGAGUCUGGCCCUGCAAGUGCUGCUCUCACACUGUGCAGUUGCAGGAAUUUACAGGGGAAGGCAGAGACAUCUCUGAGUUAAAAGCAAAUUUCCUGUGCGGAGGAUGUGAUAAAGUUUAAGUAGCAAGCUGAUCCCCUCCACAGGAACUCAGAGACACAUCUUGAGAGCUGUAAGGCCUUGUAGGAUGCAGGGUUUGGCCCUACGCUUUCAAAUUGAUAUUCUGAUGCAGAAUCUAGGCCAGCUUCUCUUAAAGUUCCUUUUUUUCAUGCUGUCUCACUUGUUUUAUUAUUGAGCUCAACUCUGCAAUGCUUUGACUCCUCUUGAUGUGCAGCAGCUGGCUGUGGACUCUGCAAGCUCUGUUUGGCCAGAGCGAUCCGGAGACAUCGUUUGCUGCUGCAGGAGUCUCAGGUAUGGAGCAUCCCUAUGGGAACCUCAGUAUUUAUCCCUCAGGAUCCACAUCGCAGCCCAUGUGGAAAGCACACUGUGGAUGUGACCCUGGCAGCCAGAGGCGAUAAAUCAGGAGCGAGAUCAGGAACCCGGUGCUUGCAGGAGCUUGUGCUGCGGUGGUGGGUCUGUGAUGGAUAUCUGACCUUUCCGAUGUGGGGAAGGAGAGUAUAUUUCUCUGGUUACAGAUAGUAGGGUUCAUGAUUAAAUCUGUAUAAAAACAAUCUUUCUCAUGCAUUGCGCUUUGAGGGCUCAGCCUGAGGGUACUAUUGAACCUGUUCGUAAAACCACGACCCAGUUCCUGCACAGCGAUGGAUUUCGGUAGCAGCCCUGCGAGAGGCAGGGCUCCAUCCAAUGUCCAUCGCAGUUAAUGGAAAAGCGCCGAUUUAUUUCGGCAGGCUUUGGAUCAGGUCUUUAGAAAGCAAUUUGGGUAGUGAGGUGAGAAAUUUGGGAUGACCAGCAUAUCAAUAGCACGAACAUGGAGCUUCACUCUUUUCACUUCAGUUCACAGAAUAAAUUCCAAUCCAAAUGCUAAGCAGCCGAUCUUCCACACAUUGCCAAGACAGAUGCAGAUACUAAAAGGUACAUUUGUAAAUGGGUCUUUUUAAUGCAUAUCUCUAGUGUGUUAUUUUUGUACAUUUAUUCUUAAUUUGGUCACGGAUUCUGGUUUUAGUUACUGUCCUUAGGUGAUGCUCUGACUGUACCGACACCUGUUAGACCCAAAUUUUAAUGUGGUUUAGAUGAGAGGAGGGUGGGCACUCUCUGCUCCACUGACCUGCUCCCGUGCUUGCUGGGAGAAGCUGGAGGAGCAGCGCGGGUUUGUCCCAGUAGCUUGAUAAAAAGCUUGUGUUUCCAUAUGAUCCAACUGCCUUUUUUCCUUCCAGUAUUCAUUUCUCAGACUCAACAUUCAUGGAGAAAACACUGAGUAUCCGUGACCUCUACAGCAGCUGUGCCCCUUCCCGAUGGCAUCAGGAUGAGCCCCUUCUUCUGGCAGGACCUGAGCGCCUUUGCUGUGAGCCUGUCCACAGAAACAUCGAUGUUUGAGUGCGGGGCUUGUUGGAAGAGGGAGGAGGGACAUCUCUCACUGGGGACAUCCAUAGCUUCAUGUUUCACGUGUUGCUGGUGUGUUUUUCCUACAAAGUGCUGACUGGGCAAUACGGGAUUUUGGGCAAAAUCACCAAAAUUUGCCUUCAGCAUUGCCCUGAGAGAGCAAGGAGAGGGGGACACAGGACGCAGAAACACUGGGACAGCUCACACCAAACCGCUCUGUUCCUUUGCCCACGGAAGGCAGGGAUCAGCUCCAGGUGCCCAUCCAACAUUACUGUACAACUGCAUCGUUGUGUCCCAUUAUAAAUUGUUUUUAAUUUUUUUUUCAGAGUUUGUCACAAAUAUAGUCUUGCAGAGAAGUUCUGCUGUUGUCAUUGCCUUUAACUUAGUAAAAGGGGCACGGGACAACAUCCCUGAUCAUAUGCAAUCGCUGCUGAAUAAGUGCUCGGUGAGGCCAAGGAAAUAAUGAGAAGAAUAUAAAUAUCAAUUCUAGAAAGAGAUGUUACUGGACUCCUGUGGCAAUUUCCUAUGGUAAUAAGCAUCCAGGAGCAUAUUAAAAAUGUCAUUUGUGUUUUAAAAGUAAUAAUAAUUGAAAUAGAUUCUGACAUCUUUUAUAACAACAGAGCCAACAAUUAUUACUGGGGGUACUUUAAAAGAAAACAAACACAUUAAAUAAUUACUUAAUUGAAUCGCCAAUAUGCUAAUGCUGCUGAAAUUAAUGUGAAAAACAUGAGAUUAGCAGCAUGGUUUUGCACAAUGAGAGUUGGCUGGAGACGAAAUUAAGAGGUGGACUGGGAUGUGCUCAGCUGGGAUGCAGACAGGGUCAGCACCGAGCCUGCCUGUGGUUUGGGGUCCUGGGGACCCUGGGGCUCGUGGACAUCCCUGCAGCCCGGGACAUGGCAUGUCCUCCCCAAAACCAUCCUGGAGAGAGGCUGGGACAGUCUCUCUGCUGAUCAGGGCUGCGGGGGGUCUCUGCACGGGCCACCCACCCGGUCAGAGAACUGAGACACCCGCUCCUGUGAGCAAUGCCCGUUUUUGUUGAGAAUUGUGACAACUCCACAAGAGAGCUAAUCUUUAGUUUUCUUAUCAUUCCUGUUUUUACAACUAUAGAGGUACAAAUUCAAUGUGUGUUUUGAAAAAUGCUUUCCUUGGAUGGGAACAGGACGAAGCGGAGUCAGCAGGCUGCAUCCAGCCCAGAGACUCUGAUCCGAGCCAGGAGAGAUUAUUUCACCUGCUUGGAGACAUGGUUUGUAAUGGGACUGGGACGUUCAAUGGGACCAAUAACUCAGAAAUGUCUGUUUUUUCCUGCAGACAUGACUGGGGACCAGUGUGCAGUGCUGGUGAGCCCGGCACCAACCCAGCCGCAUGCCGGGAGGUUCACACCGCUCCAGACCUCUGAGAUGCACUGUCACUGAGACAGUGGUGACCAAAAGGACAACAGUUCUGCAGCCCUCCCUUUUCUCCUAAAUCACAUUUUUUAAAGUGUUGAGUGUUAUAAACAUUACCCAUGUGAAGGGAAGAAUAUAUUUAAAUAUAUCUAGCACUCUCCUGAAUGCUCUGUCAUGUCUGGCACAGAAAUGCACACUUUAUAAAAUGUGUUGCCGUUUUGCUGAAUCUCUUUCAUUUACCCGUGAGAGCUGUGCUCUGUGAGCAUCCCCGGUGGAAAGCCCCCGCUCCCCCUGUGCUCUGUGAGCAUCCCGGGUGGAAAGCCCCUGCUUCACCUGUGCACUGAGCACCCCCAGCCAAAAGCCCCUGCUCCACCUGUGCACUCUGAGCAUCCCCAGCUGAAAGCCCCUGCUCCCCCUGCUCAUCCCUCUGUCCUGCAGGCUCUGGGUGUCCCACGCGCUCCUUGUCUGGGCACCCCUGCUCUGGGCACUGCUCUGCCUCCGUAAGGGAAGUGUCCUGAUCUUGUGAUGCCCCUGGGGAAGAGAGGCAGUUUCUGGCCACUACUGCAUGUCAGGUGAAUGGCUCAGGUGAGCACAGUCCCAGGGAACACGGGUUUUGGAUGUUGCCAUGCCGUAUCCUGCUUGCUUUUUGUCUGGGUGGAAUAAAAUACCAGCAUGCUUUGACCGCAACAGGAGAGAGCUUUGCCAUGUAGCAAUGUGCUCCUAAUUGUAUUUUUUGUUCAGCAUCAGCAUCAGCAAGUCUGUCUAGCAAGAGAGUUUUACCUUUACCCUUUUUUCCCCAAUAUGUUUUCACUCUAACCUGUUCUAGAGAAACACUAAACCAGCCAGACUUCAUCUAAAUGGCUUCAUUGUGACUUCAAUCUCCAGGCAUCUGGCCUCGCCUUGUACUACUGCUCGCUCUCUCUCCAAAUUAUAAAAUAUAUCAAAAACA